GUUAUUGUAGCUUAUUACAAAGCACGGCACUGAAGAUGCCAAGAUGGGUAAAUACCUACCCCAAAAACA
rnacentral:tRNA from 2 species